CGCUGGCGGCGUGCCUAACACAUGCAAGUCGAACGGAAGUUUAACGCUGACGAGACUUCGGUCAAAUCUUGUUAAACUUUAGUGGCGGACGGGUGAGUAACGCGUGGGCAACCUGCCUCAUACUGGGGGAUAACAGUUGGAAACGACUGUUAAUACCGCAUAAGCGCACAGAGUCGCAUGACUCAGUGUGAAAAACUCCGGUGGUAUGAGAUGGGCCCGCGUCAGAUUAGCCAGUUGGCGGGGUAACGGCCCACCAAAGCGACGAUCUGUAGCCGGACUGAGAGGUCGGACGGCCACAUUGGGACUGAGACACGGCCCAAACUCCUACGGGAGGCAGCAGUGGGGGAUAUUGCACAAUGGAGGAAACUCUGAUGCAGCGACGCCGCGUGAGUGAAGAAGUAUUUCGGUAUGUAAAGCUCUAUCAGCAGGGAAGAAAGGCUCGCAAGAGAGAUGACGGUACCUGACUAAGAAGCCCCGGCUAACUACGUGCCAGCAGCCGCGGUAAUACGUAGGGGGCAAGCGUUAUCCGGAUUUACUGGGUGUAAAGGGAGCGCAGACGGCUUAGCAAGUCUGAAGUGAAACCCCACGGCUCAACCGUGGGCUUGCUUU
rnacentral:rRNA from 1 species